AAUAUUGCACAAUGGGCGAAAGCCUGAUGCAGCAACGCCGCGGGAGCGAUGAAGGCUUUCUGGUCUUAAAGCUCUGUCCUAAGGGAAGAUAAUGACGGUACCUUAGGCUGAAGCCCAGGCUAACUACGUGCCUGCAGCCGCGGUAAUACGUAGGGGGCAAGCGUUAUCCGGAUUCCUUGGGCGUAAAGGGUGCGUAGGCGGCCCUAUAGGUCAGAGGUCAAAGGCUACGGCUCAACCGUAGUAAGCCUUUGAAACUGUAGGGCUUGAGUGCAGGAGAGGAGAGUGGAAUUCCUAGUGUAGCGGUGAAAUGCGUAGAUAUUAGGAGGAACACCAGUGGCGAAGGCGACUCUCUGGACUGCAACUGACGCUGAGGCACGAAAGCGUGGGGAGCGAACAG
rnacentral:rRNA from 1 species